AUUGAACGCUGGCGGCAGGCCUAACACAUGCAAGUCGAACGAGUGGCGGACGGGUGAGUAAUGUCUGGGAAACUGCCCGAUGGAGGGGGAUAACUACUGGAAACGGUAGCUAAUACCGCAUACCAUCGGAUGUGCCCAGAUGGGAUUAGCUAGUAGGUGGGGUAAGGGCUCACCGGGGCGACGAUCCCUAGCUGGUCUGAGAGGAUGACCGGCCACACUGGAACUGAGACAUGGUCCAUACUCCUACGAGAGUCAGCAGUGGGGAAUAUUGGACAAUGGGCGAAAGCCGGAUGCAGCCACGCCGCGUGUAUGAAGAAGGCCUUCGGGUUGUAAAGUACUUUCAGCGAGGAGGCGUUACUCGCAGAAGAAGCACCGGCUAACUCCGUGCCAGCAGCCGCGGUAAUUC
rnacentral:rRNA from 1 species